rnacentral:rRNA from 2 species
AGCCCUAAGCGGGUGGUAAACUCCAUCUAAGGCUAAAUAUGACCACGAGACCGAUAGCGAACAAGUACCGUGAGGGAAAGUUGAAAAGCACUUUGAAGAGAGAGUUCAAGAGUACGUGAAACCGUUUAGGGGUAAACCUGAGAAACCCGAAAGGUCGAAGGGAGAAAUUCAUUCGCGUUUCGCCGUAAGCGUGAGACGGUCGAGUGACGGAGUGCGUUAACGCGCGUCUCCGCACCUUCCGUUUUACGAUCCGGCGGCGAACGCGUGCACUUUUCUCCUGGUAGGACGUCGCGAUCCGUUGAACGUCGGUCUACGGCUCGCGGUGGAGACCGGACGUACGGUUUACCGUCACGUUCGGACCCGCGUGUCCCGGCCGGCUCGCUCGACGGUAUGCAAACGGUUCGAGGCCGCUCUCUCUCGGAGCGUUCGGCUCGCUGCAAGCGCGCCAAUUGCGUUGGCGAUCGGACCCGGUGCCGAUUCCGACCUUUGGCGACUGUUGGCCGCGAAGUUCUCGAACAGACCUUAGACCGAUCUGCGACGCUAUAGCUUUGGGUACUUUCAG